CAGAGUUGAAAGACUUCUCCUCAAACCAUCGCGAACGUUACCCUUAACCGUUGCUUCGGCGGGCGGUCUCCUUCAACAACCCCACGGGUUGGGAAACCCCUCGGCCCCCCCUUUCGCGGGGGGGGCGCCGCCGGAGGUCCACGCAAAACUCUUGAUACCUGAACGGCCUCUCUGAGUAUUCUGUACUGAAAUUAAGUCA
rnacentral:misc_RNA from 1 species